AGCGAACGCUGGCGGAAUGCUUAACACAUGCAAGUCUCACGGGCAGCAAUGUCAGUGGCGGACGGGUGAGUAACGCGUAGGAAUGUGUCCUGGGAUGGGGGAUAACGUCGGGAAACUGGCGCUAAUACCGCAUAUGGCCUUUGGGUCAAAGCCGCGAGGCGUCUUGGGAGCAGCCUGCGUCCGAUUAGCUUGUUGGUGAGGUAAAGGCUUACCAAGGCGACGAUUGGUAGCUGGUCUGAGAGGAUGAUCAGCCACACUGGAACUGAGACACGGUCCAGACUCCUACGGGAGGCAGCAGUGGGGAAUAUUGGACAAUGGGCGAAAGCCUGAUCCAGCAAUUCCGCGUGGGUGAAGAAGGUCUUCGGAUUGUAAAGCCCUUUCGUCAGGGACGAUGAUGACGGUACCUGUAGAAGAAGCCCCGGCUAACUUCGUGCCAGCAGCCGCAGUAACAC
rnacentral:rRNA from 1 species